rnacentral:rRNA from 1 species
UACGUAGGGUGCAAGCGUUGUCCGGAAUUAUUGGGCGUAAAGAGCUCGUAGGCGGCUUGUCACGUCGACUGUGAAAACCCGGGGCUCAACUCCGGGCCUGCAGUCGAUACGGGCUGGCUUGAGUGCGGUAGGGGAGACUGGAAUUCCCGGUGUAGCGGUGAAAUGCGCAGAUAUCAGGAGGAACACCGGUGGCGAAGGCGGGUCUCUGGGCCGUAACUGACGCUGAGGAGCGAAAGCGUGGGGAGCGAACAGG